GUGUUAGCCGGGAUGGCUUCGAUCUUCUGACCUCGUGAUCUGCCCGCCUCGGCCUCCCAAAGUGCUGGGAAUACAGGCGUGAGCCACCACGCCUGGCCUGAGGCAGGGUUUCUUAAGUGAGGCGCUUUAAAACUCACUUCUUUGGCAGGGCUGUAUUUUGGAGAGUUGAAGAUGUAAAGCUGGUAAGUGAGAGUCUCCCCUCUUUAGGUAAUCCCACAGCAUCCCAAAGGAACAGAGGUGAUCUCUUGUUUAUUGACAACCAACUUGGACUCCUAAAAGCCACCAUCUACUUGAGGCCUUUCCUUGAAAAGACCUCACCUUUCUAGUUACGCUAGUGGUAUUUUAGCUGAGCAAAAAAUAUGUGAACAAAAAGGACAGAGAUAUAGUAUACAGCCGUUACAACUUUAUUCCUGAAACUACAUUUCAGUCAGCAGAGUGUAAAUGACUUAUCUGUGCAACCCAGACACAUCUGCUAAUGUAGCAUUCCAAUUCAUUUGGGUAACGUUGGACCUAGGAGAUGUUCCUUCAUAUUUCUUUUGUGUCAAUCAUCUCUCGUAUCUUGACUUUCUUUUGCUAGUCCUGUCCACAGAUGCCUUGUAUUCAAACUAAAGGCGAAGAUUCCAUUCAGAGUCCUCUUCCAAACACUGUGGCUUCCAUUCUAAAAUACCAUGACUAGAGGUGAAUAAUCCUCACAGCCAGCGAUUUAUGGCCCAAAUCCCUCCAAAUUACAUUCGAUAACAAGUAAACCCUUCUGAUUCAGAGGCCCUCCAGUUAAUUAACUAUAGGACCCAGCUAAAAUCAUUUUUGGCAGAUGUUGUACAAAACGUAACUGGUACAUAUCCAAUUACAUAAAACAGGUACAUUUAUUUAGAAACUAAAAUAAGGACAUCGUUCAAUUAAUGCAUCCUGACAGUAUCAAACUGCUUUGAUCAAAACUAUGUUAUCUUUGGGAACAUUAUCCAGGUUUUAUAUGGUCAUUGAGGAGAACUAGUACCAACUGCUCUAACAGUUUACGGGCCCAAAGCUUCUUCUCAUGCUCUAUAGAGUAAAAUUUUCAGGGCUUCAUUAAUCAUUUUUUCAAUCACCAGAAAAGCCCCCAGAACUAUUUCCCAACAACAAUUCUAGCUUUCUGCAUCUUGUCUCCAUGAAGUGGUCAACCAGCUAUCAAUCCAAGUAGAUGCCAUACUUUGCCUACUCACAUUUCAUUAAAAAGUAUCAAAUUUCCAUGUUUUCUUUUUAUUUCCAAAGGAUAUAGUUCCAUCCUCAACGGACACACUGUCUCUCUAAAAUAUAAAACAGUGCUCCGGUUUGCAAUAAUGGGUAGAUUCUUCCAGUCUAGAUAUCAAUACGAUGGUGCCUGGAGGAGCUCCUUAACUCAGGACUUUAUGGAUCUAUUAAAAAGACCAGUGGGGACUGUAUACUUUAUACGAUAUAGUAAACUGGAACCUCAGUUAUGAUGACUUGUAAUUCUGCACAACAGAGUUGUGGUAUCAGUUACCAGACCUGAAUGAAAGGCUGGUUGGGGCUGUAUUUUCUUCUUCCUCUUGCUUUGUUUCACUCUCGCUGAAGUGUGUGUUCUUUCCACACCAUUCCGGCUCCACCAUGUCUGAGUUGGAAUUUUCUUUCUGGUUUCAGAGCACCUUUCCCUGAUAUUCUGUUUGCUUUUGGUCCAGAUUACUUCACCUGCAGCCUUUGGCAAUUGUUGGCCAGGAGGCACCUCUGCACGUGCCUUCUGCUAAGUUCCUUUACAAGCCCAGGAACGGCGAACCAUCCCUUUCUUCCCUCGGUGUCCCCAGUCCGUGCCCUCCAUUAAGGAUUGUUCUGCUUGGGCAACACUGAGAUAAUGGGAAGGUUUUAUUCUGCUUCUUUUGCCUUGAAAAGUGAUGUUCUGCUGAUUCACACUCUGGGCAGAAUUUGGGGGCACUAAGACAGUCCCUGGCUAACUCUCUGGUGAACAGCCUCCCUG
rnacentral:lncRNA from 1 species